GCCGGGGUGGCGAAACUGGCAUACGCGUCAGACUUAAGAUCUGAUGUCCGCAAGGACGUGCGGGUUCGACCCCCGCCCCCGGCA
rfam:Parcubacteria bacterium GW2011_GWA2_42_14 TV01_C0015, whole genome shotgun sequence.